rnacentral:siRNA from 1 species
CAGCCAAGCGUUCAUAGCGAC